CAGCCGCCACGGGAAUACGUAGGGUGCGAGCGUUAAUCGGAAUUACUGGGCGUAAAGCGUGCGCAGGCGGUUUUGUAAGACAGGCGUGAAAUCCCCGGGCUCAACCUGGGAAUGGCGCUUGUGACUGCAAAGCUAGAGUGCGGCAGAGGGGGAUGGAAUUCCGCGUGUAGCAGUGAAAUGAGUAGAUAUGCGGAGGAACACCGAUGGCGAAGGCAAUCCCCUGGGCCUGCACUGACGCUCGUGCACGAAAGCGUGGGGAGCAAACAGGAUUAGAUACCCCCGUAGUCCCUGUCUCUUAUAC
rnacentral:rRNA from 1 species